CCUACGGGCGGCUGCAGUGGGGAAUCUUGCGCAAUGGGCGAAAGCCUGACGCAGCGACGCCGCGUGAGCGAAGAAGGCCUUCGGGUCGUAAAGCUCAGUCAUUGGGGAUGAGAUGACAGUACCCAAGGAGGAAGCCCCGGCUAACUACGUGCCAGCAGCCGCGGUAAUACGUAGGGGGCGAGCGUUGUCCGGAAUUACUGGGUGUAAAGGGCGUGUAGGCGGGGGUGCAAGUUACCGGUAAAAACCCAGGGCUCAACUCUGGGCUUGCCGGUAAAACUGCAUCUCUUGAGUGUAGGAGAGGGAAGUGGAAUUCCCGGAGUAGCGGUGAAAUGCGUAGAUACCGGGAGGAACACCAGUGGCGAAGGCGGCUUCCUGGCCUACAACUGACGCUGAGGCGCGAAAGCUAGGGUAGCGAACGGGAUUAGAUACCCCAGUAGUC
rnacentral:rRNA from 1 species